GUCGAGCGAGAACCGGGGCUUCGGCCCCGGGGACAGCGGCGAACGGGUGAGUAACACGUGGAUAACCUGCCCUCGGCACCGGGAUAGCCCGGGGAAACUCGGAUUAAUACCGGAUGGCCCUUCCGACCUUCGGGUCGGUCGGGAAAGGUAGCUUCGGCCUCUGGCCGGGGAUGGGUCCGCGGCGGAUUAGCUUGUUGGUGGGGUAACGGCCCACCAAGGCGACGAUCCGUAGCUGGUCUGAGAGGACGAUCAGCCACACUGGGACUGAGACACGGCCCAGACUCCUACGGGAGGCAGCAGUGGGGAAUCUUGCGCAAUGGGCGAAAGCCUGACGCAGCGACGCCGCGUGAGGGAAGACGGCCUUCGGGUUGUAAACCUCUUUCAGGAGGGACGAAGCUACUCGGGUGAAUAGCCCAGAGGGUGACGGUACCUCCAGAAGAAGCCCCGGCUAACUAUGUGCCAGCAGCCGCGGUAAUACGUAGGGGGCAAGCGUUGUCCGGAUUUACUGGGCGUAAAGAGCGUGUAGGCGGCCAGACAGGUCUGUUGUGAAAACUGGAGGCUCACCUCCGGACGUCGACGAAACCGUCUGGCUAGAGUCCGGAAGAGGAGAGUGGAAUUCCUGGUGUAGCGGUGAAAUGCGCAGAUAUCAGGAAGAACACCAAUGGCGAAGGCGCUCUCUGGGACGGUACUGACGCUAGACGCGAAAGCGUGGGGAGCGAACAGAUUAGAUACCCUGGUAUCCACGCCGUAACGAAGGUGCUAGUGUGGGAGGUGUCGACUCCUUCCGUGCGUAACUACGCAUAAGCACCCGCCGGGGAGUCGGCCGCAGGCUAAACUCUAGGAUUGACGGGG
rnacentral:rRNA from 1 species